rfam:Faecalibacterium sp. CAG:1138 genomic scaffold, scf21
AAUCUUUAUGUUGAAUAUCCAAAGACAGUAAGCGACCACAGGUCGUAAUAUCCCAGCUUACCGAGGAAACGACUUUAUAAGAGAUUUUGUCUCGCCGUUUCCGCUUGGAUUCGGCGAUUUUUUAUGAAACUU